rnacentral:rRNA from 1 species
GCUCACCAAGGCGACGACGGGUAGCCGGCCUGAGAGGGUGACCGGCCACACUGGGACUGAGACACGGCCCAGACUCCUACGGGAGGCAGCAGUGGGGAAUAUUGCACAAUGGGCGAAAGCCUGAUGCAGCGACGCCGCGUGAGGGAUGACGGCCUUCGGGUUGUAAACCUCUUUCAGUAGGGAAGAAGCGAAAGUGACGGUACCUGCAGAAGAAGCGCCGGCUAACUACGUGCCAGCAGCCGCGGUAAUACGUAGGGCGCAAGCGUUAUCCGGAAUUAUUGGGCGUAAAGAGCUCGUAGGCGGUUUGUCGCGUCUGCCGUGAAAGUCCGGGGCUCAACUCCGGAUCUGCGGUGGGUACGGGCAGACUAGAGUGAUGUAGGGGAGACUGGAAUUCCUGGUGUAGCGGUGAAAUGCGCAGAUAUCAGGAGGAACACCGAUGGCGAAGGCAGGUCUCUGGGCAUUAACUGACGCUGAGGAGCGAAAGCAUGGGGAGCGAACAGGAUUAGAUACCCUGGUAGUCCAUGCCGUAAACGUUGGGCACUAGGUGUGGGGGACAUUCCACGUUUUCCGCGCCGUAGCUAACGCAUUAAGUGCCCCGCCUGGGGAGUACGGCCGCAAGGCUAAAACUCAAAGGAAUUGACGGGGGCCCGCACAAGCGGCGGAAGCAUGCGGAUUAAUUCGAUGCAACGCGAAGAACCUUACCAAGGCUUGACAUGGACCGGAAAUACCUGGAAACAGGUGCCCCGCUUGCGGUCGGUUCACAGGUGGUGCAUGGUUGUCGUCAGCUCGUGUCGUGAGAUGUUGGGUUAAGUCCCGCAACGAGCGCAACCCUCGUUCUAUGUUGCCAGCGCGUUAUGGCGGGGACUCAUAGGAGACUGCCGGGGUCAACUCGGAGGAAGGUGGGGACGACGUCAAAUCAUCAUGCCCCUUAUGUCUUGGGCUUCACGCAUGCUACAAUGGCCGGUACAAAGGGUUGCGAUACUGUGAGGUGGAGCUAAUCCCAAAAAGCCGGUCUCAGUUCGGAUUGGGGUCUGCAACUCGACCCCAUGAAGUCGGAGUCGCUAGUAAUCGCAGAUCAGCAACGCUGCGGUGAAUACGUUCCCGGGCCUUGUACACACCGCCCGUCAAGUCACGAAAGUUGGUAACACCCGAAGCGGUGGCCUAACCCUUGUGGGAGGGAGCUGUCGA